rnacentral:rRNA from 1 species
UACGUAGGGUGCAAGCGUUAAUCGGAAUUACUGGGCGUAAAGCGUGCGCAGGCGGCUUUGCAAGACAGAUGUGAAAUCCCCGGGCUUAACCUGGGAACUGCGUCCGAUACUGGAAGGCUUGAAUCCGGGAGAGGGAUGCGGAAUUCCAGGUGUAGCGGUGAAAUGCGUAGAUAUCUGGAGGAACACCGGUGGCGAAGGCGGCAUCCUGGACCGGCAUUGACGCUGAGGCGCGAAAGCCAGGGGAGCAAACGGG